rnacentral:rRNA from 1 species
ACGAACGCUGGCGGCGUGCUUAACACCUGCCAGUCGAACGGAAAGGCCCUGCUUUUGUGGGGUGCUCGAGUGGCGAACGGGUGAGUAACACGUGAGUAACCUGCCCUUGACUUUGGGAUAACUUCAGGAAACUGGGGCUAAUACCGGAUAGGAGCUCCUGCUGCAUGGUGGGGGUUGGAAAGUUUCGGCGGUUGGGGAUGGACUCGCGGCUUAUCAGCUUGUUGGUGGGGUAGUGGCUUACCAAGGCUUUGACGGGUAGCCGGCCUGAGAGGGUGACCGGCCACAUUGGGACUGAGAUACGGCCCAGACUCCUACGGGAGGCAGCAGCGGGGAAUAUUGCACAAUGGGCGGAAGCCUGAUGCAGCAACGCCGCGUGCGGGAUGACGGCCUUCGGGUUGUAAACCGCUUUCGCCUGUGACGAAGCGUGAGUGACGGUAAUGGGUAAAGAAGCACCGGCUAACUACGUG